UGUCGGCGUAGAGCAGCCCGGUAACUCGUCAGCUUCAUAAGCUGGAGAGCCGCAAGUCGAACCCUGUCGCCGCAA
rnacentral:tRNA from 2 species